AACAGGAUUAGAUACCCUGGUAGUCCACGCUGUAAACGAUGUCGAUUUGGAGGUUGUGCCCUUGAGGCGUGGCUUCCGGAGCUAACGCGUUAAAUCGACCGCCUGGGGAGUACGGCCGCAAGGUUAAAACUCAAAUGAAUUGACGGGGGCCCGCACAAGCGGUGGAGCAUGUGGUUUAAUUCGAUGCAACGCGAAGAACCUUACCUACUCUUGACAUCCAGAGAACUUUCCAGAGAUGGAUUGGUGCCUUCGGGAACUCUGAGACAGGUGCUGCAUGGCUGUCGUCAGCUCGUGUUGUGAAAUGUUGGGUUAAGUCCCGCAACGAGCGCAACCCUUAUCCUUUGUUGCCAGCGGUUCGGCCGGGAACUCAAAGGAGACUGCCAGUGAUAAACUGGAGGAAGGUGGGGAUGACGUCAAGUCAUCAUGGCCCUUACGAGUAGGGCUACACACGUGCUACAAUGGCGUAUACAAAGAGAAGCGACCUCGCGAGAGCAAGCGGACCUCAUAAAGUACGUCGUAGUCCGGAUUGGAGACUGCAACUCGACUCCAUGAAGUGGAAUCGC
rnacentral:rRNA from 1 species